GAGGGUUAAAAUCCGCCCUAACGCUCAAAGAAAG
rnacentral:tRNA from 1 species